rnacentral:rRNA from 1 species
UAGGUGGGUUACAAUAAAAUUAUUUAUAUGGAUAUAAAUUUGAAAAAUUUAUUGAAAGUGGAUUUGAUAGUAAAAUUAUAUAGAUUAAUAAUUUGAUUUUAGCUCUAAAAUAUGCACACAUCGCCCGUCACUCUUAUUAUUAAGGUAAGAUAAGUCGUAACAUAGUAGAUGUACUGGAAAGUGCACCUAGAAUGCAAUUUAAAGCUUAUUCAGUAAAGCAUUUCAUUUACAUUGAAAAGAUUUUUGUGCAAAUCAAUAUAAAUUGAUUAUAUUUUAUUUAUUAAUUGUAUUUUUUUUAUUUAUAAAUUAUUAAAAAUAAUUAUUUUAAGAAUUGUUUAAGUAUUUUAUAAGGAAAAAAUAAUUUUAA